rnacentral:rRNA from 1 species
UACGUAGGGCGCAAGCGUUAUCCGGAAUUAUUGGGCGUAAAGAGCUCGUAGGCGGUUUGUCGCGUCUGCUGUGAAAGGCCGGGGCUCAACUCCGGUUCUGCAGUGGGUACGGGCAGACUAGAGUGCAGUAGGGGAGACUGGAAUUCCUGGUGUAGCGGUGAAAUGCGCAGAUAUCAGGAGGAACACCGAUGGCGAAGGCAGGUCUCUGGGCUGUAACUGACGCUGAGGAGCGAAAGCAUGGGGAGCGAACAGG